ensembl:lncRNA
UCUGCUUUCCCUUUGAGCCUAGUCCCUCUCUUUCUCUGGCUCCUGUGCGCUUGCUUUCUUUCGUUUUUCCCAGCCCCAUCACUUAUUCAUGGAACAGGUUCAACUCCCAGCACUGAUGUCUGGAAACGACGCGUGGACACAGAAGUGACAGUGGGUGGUUUCGAGAGUGGCCAGCGUGGAUAAUAGCAGCCGGGCAAUGGAGUCCUCUGUAGUCUUAGAAAACCAGAGUGAUGGCUUCCUCAUAGCUUGCCUGUCCACAUCCAUUUCAUACACCAGAGAGAGCACAUCUGCGUUUCUGUUACAGUACAGAUGGGUCGGAGACAGAAGAUCACAGCCACACAACAAAAAGGAGAGCCAGAACAAAGCCCGGCAAUUACAGUAAGAAAGAACUCAUCGCUGUGGGGCAAGGUGGACAGCACAGAGCCACGCUCAUCUUACACAGCUCUCACACAGACACGCAUGCUGGCAAAAGGCAUCCAGCCCAUCAGGAGCCUCUGAGAGGAAACAGGAUGGGGAAUUCCAAACAAAGAGACAGAGCCAAAACAGGAGGCAACGAAGGGGACAGGCCACAGCUUUUAGCAACAUGUCAACUGGACACAUUAUUUCAUAAAAUAUCCUCUGUGAGCAUGAAAAAUGCAGGCUGACUCCAGGAGAAGGGUAUGUAUAAUUGAUUCAAAUGAGGAGCUCUUCCCUGCCAGGGACCGUGUGCUCAGUUUGCCAGCUGCUGUGGUUGGAGAACAGAAUGUAGGCCAGAGGAAGAAGAAAGGUGCUCCGGACACAGCCUGACCCGGUGGGAGAGAAGAAAAGAUAGAGGACAUACCACAUCAAGCCCCAGGCCAUGAUGUGUAUGACGUUAUUAAGAGUUCAUCCAAAUGCCGUGCAUCACUAGCAUCAUUUGCAUUAGCUCAUUCAGGACAAUCACAUAACCUCCUCAUUAAAUAAACAAAAG